rnacentral:lncRNA from 1 species
GGAAUUGGAAUAGAUUUGUGUUGCAGUAGAGCUCUGGAAGAGGGAUGAUGAGGUCGGUCCUGGAGAGUUGUUAAGGCUUGAGUUGGUGAAGACUAUAAAGAAUUUUACAAAAAUAAUUCUAAAAUCGUGGGAUACUGUCCAAUUUAGGAUCCUCCAAUGAUUAAGUCAGUCAGAACUUUGAGAACAUAUAGAGAAAAAUAG